rnacentral:rRNA from 1 species
GAUGAACGCUGGCGGCGUGCCUAAUACAUGCAAGUCGAGCGAACAGACGAGGAGCUUGCUCCUCUGACGUUAGCGGCGGACGGGUGAGUAACACGUGGAUAACCUACCUAUAAGACUGGGAUAACUUCGGGAAACCGGAGCUAAUACCGGAUAAUAUAUUGAACCGCAUGGUUCAAUAGUGAAAGACGGUUUUGCUGUCACUUAUAGAUGGAUCCGCGCCGCAUUAGCUAGUUGGUAAGGUAACGGCUUACCAAGGCAACGAUGCGUAGCCGACCUGAGAGGGUGAUCGGCCGCACUGGAACUGAGACACGGUCCAGGCUCCUACGGGAGGCAGCAGUAGCGAAUCUUCCGCAAUGGGCGAAAGCCUGACGGAGCAACGCCGCGUGAGUGAUGAAGGUCUUCGGAUCGUAAAACUCUGUUAUUAGGGAAGAACAAAUGUGUAAGUAACUAUGCACGUCUUGACGGUACCUAAUCAGAAAGCCACGGCUAACUACGUG